rnacentral:lncRNA from 1 species
CCUGUAUUUCGCUCAACUCUCCAAAUUGACUCAGCUCCAGUGUAGCUCUCUGUAUCCGACAAAAUGGCGCAUAAUCAUCUGUGAAAAUUGGAGGUCUGCAUGCUUCUCAAAUUGAGCUGUAACACUCACUGCUGCGGUCCAAGCCUUCAUUCUUUGAAGCCCGUGGAACCACAAACUCUUCAAUUGAUAAAAACCUUCGAUCGGAAGAGACUUCUCAUCUCAUUUCUGGGGGCCUGUCCGGGAUUUCUCUGAAGUGAAUAGAAUCCAUGAAACUGCAAGUGGUUCUACAAAUGGAGCCCCAAAUGACCACCACUAGCACCUACUAUCGAGGACCCCUAGACUGACCUACCAACCUGUUCUAACACCACGACACUGAAGAAGACUCCCCUCCUGAGGAACCCUCAACUGCAGAUCCCCUUCUGUGCCCCAGUUCAGCAGGAAGUAGCUAGAAUGAUCAUUGCCCAACUUCUCAACAGCACUUGGGCUUUCCUGUUGAGAGGGGGUACUGAGGCACUAAGUGGCUAAGUUAGCUAGACUUCCUGGGUCAACAGGGACUUCCCUAAGGGGACAUUCCUCUAAGCCAAAAUGAGUCAUAGCUGCAAGCUAAGGGAUUGAAACUUCAACCAAUCAAAGGGGACUUUCUCCUAAGCAAAAAUGAGUCACUGCUGCAAACUAAGUGAUUGAAACUUCACCCAAUCAUAUAGGGAGUUUAAGCUUUAGCUGCAGCCUGAUGUUUUUAACCAAUCAGGCCUGCCAACCCACAAGCAGAUAGAAAAUAAGCUAAUCCUAUGGGACAGAAAAAGGAAAAGGGGAGGAGUCAUAAGAGGAUAUAAGCAUAAGACACCCAAGCCAGAAACGGAAACCCUUCCGGGUCUCCUUCCACCACGUGGAAGCUUUACUUUUGCUUUUACUUUACUUUCACUUUAAUAAACCUUGGCGCUGCAC